rnacentral:rRNA from 1 species
GACCUCGGAUCAGGUAGGAAUACCCGCUGAACUUAAGCAUAUCAAAAGCCGGGGAGGAA